GAUGAACGCUGACAGAAUGCUUAACACAUGCAAGUCGAUUCGAUUUACCUUCGGGUAUUGAGGAUGGCGGACGGGUGAGUAACGCGUAAGGAACUUGCCUCUUGGUCUGGGACAACUGUUGGAAACGACAGCUAAUACCGGAUAUUAUGAGAUUCUCGCAUGGGAAACUUAUGAAAGCUAUAUGCGCCAAGAGAGAGCCUUGCGUUCCAUUAGCUAGUUGGUGGGGUAACGGCCCACCAGGGCGACGAUGGAUAGCCGGCCUGAGAGGGUGAACGGCCACAAGGGGACUGAGACACGGCCCUUACUCCUACGGGAGGCAGCAGUGGGGAAUAUUGGACAAUGGGCCACAAGCCUGAUCCAGCAAUUCUGUGUGCACGAUGAAGGUCUUCGGAUUGUAAAGUGCUUUCAGUUGGGAAGAAGAAAGUGACGGUACCAACAGAAGAAGCGACGGCUAAAUACGUGCCAGCAGCCGCGGUAAUACGUAUGUCGCAAGCGUUAUCCGGAUUUAUUGGGCGUAAAGCGCGUCUAGGCGGAAAAAUAAGUCUGAUGUUAAAAUGCGGGGCUCAACUCCGUAUUGCGUUGGAAACUGUUUUUCUAGAGUACUGGAGAGGUGGGCGGAACUACAAGUGUAGAGGUGAAAUUCGUANAUAUUUGUAGG
rnacentral:rRNA from 1 species